UUCCGGUUGAUCCCGCCGGACCUGACUGCUAUCGGAUUGAUACUAAGCCAUGCGAGUCUUUGUAGUAAUACAAGGCAUACGGCUCAGUAACGCGUAGUCAACCUACCCUAUGGACAAGAAUAAUCUCGGGAAACUGAGCAUAAUUCUUGAUAGAUCAUAAUGCCUGGAAUGGUUUAUGGUUAAAAUGAUUCGUCGCCAUAGGAUGGGACUGCGGCCUAUCAGCUUGUUGGUGAGGUAAUGGCCCACCAAGGCGAUAACAGGUACGGGCUCUGAGAGGAGAAGCCCGGAGAUGGGUACUGAGACAAGGACCCAGGCCCUAUGGGGCGCAGCAGGCGAGAAAACUUUGCAAUGUGCGAAAGCACGACAAGGUUAGUCCGAGUGAUUUCUGCUAAAGAGAUCUUUUGCUAGUUAUAAAACCACUAGUGAAUAAGGGGUGGGCAAGUUCUGGUGUCAGCCGCCGCGGUAAAACCAGCACCUCAAGUGGUCAGGAUGAUUAUUGGGCCUAAAGCAUCCGUAGCCGGCUCUGUAAGUUUUCGGUUAAAUCUAUACGCUUAACGUAUGGGCUGCCGAAAAUACUGUAGAGAUAGGGAGUGGGAGAGGUAGACGGUACUCGGUAGGAAGGGGUAAAAUCCUUUGAUCUAUCGAUGACCACCUGUGGCGAAGGCGGUCUACCAGAACACGUUCGACGGUGAGGGAUGAAAGCUGGGGGAGCAAACCGGAUUAGAUACCCGGGUAGUCCCAGCUGUAAACGAUGCAGACUCGAUGAUGCAUUGGCAUAUAGCCAGUGCAGUGUCGCAGGGAAGCCGUUAAGUCUGCCGCCUGGGAAGUACGUACGCAAGUAUGAAACUUAAAGGAAUUGGCGGGGGAGCACCACAAGGGGUGAAGCCUGCGGUUCAAUUGGAUUCAACGCCGG
rnacentral:rRNA from 1 species